GGUUGAUCCCGCCAGUAGUCAUAUGCUUGUCUUAAAGAUUAAGCCAUGCAUGUCUAAGUAUAAGCUUUUAUAUGGUGAAACUGCGAAUGGCUCAUUAAAACAGUUAUAGUUUAUUUGAUGUUUGUUUCUACAUGGAUAACCGUGCUAAUUGUAGGGCUAAUACAUGCUCGGGCUGUUUACAGUUGCGUUUAUUAGACCUAAAACCUCCCCGCUUUUGCGGUGUUUCGGUGAUUCAUAAUAAAUUAGCGAAUCGCAUGGCUUUGCCGGCGAUGUAUCAUUCAAGUUUCUGACCUAUCAGCUUUGGACGGUAGGGUAUUGGCCUACCGGGGCAACGACGGGUAACGGGGAAUUAGGGUUCGAUUCCGGAGAGGGAGCCUGAGAAACGGCUACCACAUCUAAGGA
rnacentral:rRNA from 1 species